GCGGAGCCUCCAAAGACGCCCGCGUAGCUGCUGGCGCGUGGGGCGCGGGUCGGAGUGAGGAUCCCAGGCAGCGGGAGUCCGGAGUCGCCCCCGGGAAAGAGCAAACCCGCCGGUAAUCCAUGAGGUUGACCUGCAGACGGCAAUGAGUCCUGAGCCAAAUAUUCAAGAGCCUAUUGUGUACAAGGCACUGGUGACAGAGUGACAGAAGCCACAUCAGGAACACAGACAGCUUUAUCCUCAAACACUGUGUCUGACAGUCAGAAUGCACAUUAACAUAUUGAAGGCUCUGAGAAGUCCUGCACUCGGCGGCUGGGAAAAUGUGAAACAGCACACGCAGCUGCACUGUCUUUCUAUUGGACACUGCGGGCCCAGGUUCCCGCCACGGGAACAGGCCCCCAGAGGCCCAGGGGAGCUGGCUCUCACCUACACGCCCCCAAAGCCCAAAGCGGGAACUCCUCAGGAAGGGAGCGUCAGCACAAAGGACCUACCUAACACUGCAGGAAGCAGAGAAUGAGUGCAGGCUGGGGCCCCAGUGCGAAGCCUGCCUCCAGCUCCUACUAGCCGAGCGACCUCAGAAAGUCGCUUCACUGCCUCUCUCCGUCUCAGAUUGCACACGUUUUCACUUUGGGGACAGAGGGGAUUAGAUACACUACCAUCUGUAAGGUACUCAACCCAGAGAAGGCUCCUCGUAAAGGACUAGAUUUAA